AAAACGACUCUCGGCAACGGAUAUCUCGGCUCUCGCAUCGAUGAAGAACGUAGCGAAAUGCGAUACUUGGUGUGAAUUGCAGAAUCCCGUGAACCAUCGAGUCUUUGAACGCAAGUUGCGCCCGAAGCCKUCKGGCCGAGGGCACGCCUGCCUGGGCGUCACACGCC
rnacentral:rRNA from 1 species